rnacentral:rRNA from 1 species
CGCGUAGGCGGUUUGCUAGGUCGGAUGUGAAAGCCCCGGGCUUAACCUGGGAACUGCAUUCGAUACUGGCAGGCUGGAGUAUGGUAGAGGGAAGUGGAAUUCCGGGUGUAGCGGUGAAAUGCGUAGAUAUCCGGAGGAACAUCAGUGGCGAAGGCGGCUUCCUGGACCAAUACUGACGCUGAGGUGCGAAAGCGUGGGGAGCAAACA